CGCGGGUCUCGCAAGGGGGGGGGCGCGGCUGCAGUGCCGUUCCCGGCCGUGUCCGCCAGGCGGCGACUGCGAGGCGGCGCCCGGCGGUCGGGGCGGGCUGGGAAGCGGCGCCUGCGCAGAGCGAGGCGUUGGCCGGGCCGGGCCUGGAGCGCUCGGGGCCGCCGGGCAGGGCAGUGGCCGGGGAUCGGCCGGGGCGGGGGUUGGAGCGUAAGAGCAGGUUUUAGGGAAGAAACGCCUGUGGACAGGGAAAAUCGUUGACUUGGGUCCAGCAAUGCCAGAUGUGUUGGGGUGUGAGCAGCCAAAGCAACAGGCUCCAGCCCCACCGACCGGCGCUGGGGGCUCCUGGUGCUGCCUGUGGGGUGGGGGCUGCAGGGUCUGAGGGAUUGGAUUUCCCUGGGGGUUUGCAGGAGACCAGGAAUGAGAGGAAACACGGUGCCAGAGCUGUGUCCGAGUGGGCUGCGUUUCCCUGUGAGGACAGAGGGCCUGUGGGCUGAGAAUUGCCACGAGAGGAAAUACCUCAGAGGGGCUUCCCUCCAGAUAAGCCCUGAAUGUGCCAGGAGGUUUCAGCCGGGAGAAAGGAGCUGUGGAAGAAAAGCAGCCUGAAAAUAGCCAGUGGGGAUCAGCAGCUUUUCCAACCAAGAAAAACAAGGACGGAGAUGAGGGAAUCGGGUUCCAAUUCCUAAUGAUUUGGAAGUGGGCUGGGACAAGGGAAUUGGCUCCCACGAGGCCGAGGAUCAGAGCGGGCUCUGCACAGGGGACGACUUCCACUUCCGAACGGGGAAGGGCACCUUCGUCCCCACCCCCGGCACGGGGACGGAGUAACAUCUGCCUGCAGCUGGCUGGAGUUCCCCUUGGCUCUGGGCUCUCUGCCCACGGGCCGGGGAUCAUGGCCAGAGUCCUUCAAACCUGGGGCACAGUGGCCUUCACAGCAUCCCUGCAGCCCAUCCAGGGCAGGCUGCUGCCCAUCGGCCCCUGAUCACAGGUGGAUGUAGAAGUGAUGGUGUUUAGGGAAUGCUGAUUGUAUUUCCCUGACUUUAGCAACGUGGUCAUUAAAAAGAGAAAAAUAACAA